UAGGGAAUAUUGCACAAUGGAGGAAACUCUGAUGCAGCCAUGCCGCGUGUGUGAAGAAGGCCUUCGGGUUGUAAAGCACUUUCGGAGGGGAGGGAACAAAUGACGUUACCCUCAGAAGAAGCACCGGCUAACUCCGUGCCAGCAGCCGCGGCAAUACGGGGGUGUAAGCGUUGUUCGGAAUUACUGGGCGUAAAGGGCGUGCAGGCGGCCACCGCAAGUUGAAUGUGAAAUCCCCGGGCUUAACCCGGGAAGUGCGUUCAAGACUGCGGGGCUUGAAUACGGGAGAGGAUCGUGGAAUUCCUGGUGUAGAGGUGAAAUUCGUAGAUAUCAGGAGGAACACUCGUGGCGAAGGCGACGGUCUGGACCGAUAUUGACGCUGAGACGCGAAAGCGUGGGUAGCAAACAGGAUUAGAUACCCUGGUA
rnacentral:rRNA from 1 species